AAAUAAUUUAGGACUUAACAAGUGUGACUGCGACGAUUGAGAGUAAAAUUUUAUAUGUGUCAAAAGGAACUAUGGACUAGUGCUAUGUCACAUAAUCAUGGCAAUGAGUAUAUAAAGUAUAUUAAAAAUAAUUGUUAUUAAGGUGAAUUGAGAUCAAGAAAUUAAUUAAGAUUAUUGGAUAGCUAUUAGUGGACAUAGUCCACGUGUUUUAUUUAAAAUGGGCUGCAAGAUUUAUAUACACAUACACGUUGUGCCUUGGUGUCAAAUACAUGAUAACUAUUUAAAAAAAUUGGGCCAGCCAUGGUGCACGUGUAAAAGACCAAGUUGAUGAUGACUUUGUGUCAUUCUCUUUAUAUACAUAAUAAUUGGUUAAAAGGGGGCUGUAGUGGAAAAAAAAAUUAAUCAUUAAGUUAGUGGAAAAUUUUGAAUUGAUUAUUUUCACGUGGCAGCCAUAAGGAAGGGCAAGUAGUGACUAUUCAUUUUGUUGGCUAGUUGUGGCAUCUUUACAACUUAAGUGUUCAAGAUAAUACAAAGGGGUGGACCCCACAAUCCAAGAAGUGGACUCUACCUUACCUGUCUUGUAUACACCUAAGACUUAUAUUGAUCAGAUUGUAGCUAAGCAAUUUGACAUGGCAAUAACACUUCACUAAAGCUAACCAAACGUACAAGGAUAUACUUGGUGAUUUAGAUAAUGCACAGACCAAAAUCUUUUAGAUUAGAUGAGUCCUUCAAAAAUCCAAGACAAUGACGAAUUGCUGGACAACAACAUCUAUGAAUCAACGUGAAUUUCAAUUGUGGUAGCAGCAAUGUGUAUUUAUUCUCAAGAGCAACAAAGCGGGUUUUGCUCUCCGAUUCGAUCUCGUUGUUCCGUCUUAUCGUGUUGUUGAAUCCGGGCUUUCUUCGAAGUGAAGCAAGGUGGAAGGAGAUUAUUUCUUGGUAUAUGAGGUUUAUCAUAUUAAUUGUGGAAGUUCUUGGAUGGACUGAGCUCUCGAACGACGUGAGGUACAGACACUCGCUUUGGUGAUCCGCCAGCUUAGGAUUCCCUUUCCGAUGUCUUGGAGAGCUCCGUUGUUCCGGAGUCUAGACUUUUGGUUUGAAUCUUAUGAUAUAUAUAUAUAUAUAUAUAUAUAUAUAUAUAUAUAUAU